GACGAACGCUGGCGGCGUGCCUAAUACAUGCAAGUAGAACGCUGAAGGAGGAGCUUGCUUCUCUGGAUGAGUUGCGAACGGGUGAGUAACGCGUAGGUAACCUGCCUGGUAGCGGGGGAUAACUAUUGGAAACGAUAGCUAAUACCGCAUAAGAGUAGAUGUUGCAUGACAUUUGCUUAAAAGGUGCAAUUGCAUCACUACCAGAUGGACCUGCGUUGUAUUAGCUAGUUGGUGAGGUAACGGCUCACCAAGGCGACGAUACAUAUCCGACCUGAGAGGGUGAUCGCCCACACUGGGACUGAGACACGGCCCAGACUCCUACGGGAGGCAGCAUUAGGGAAUCUUCGGCAAUGGACGGAAGUCUGACCGAGCAACGCCGCGUGAGUGAAGAAGGUUUUCGGAUCGUAAAGCUCUGUUGUAAGAGAAGAACGAGUGUGAGAGUGGAAAGUUCACACUGUGACGUUAUCUUACCAGAAAGGGACGGCUAACUACGUG
rnacentral:rRNA from 1 species